CUCUUGGACUUCUUUUGUAUAGGUAGUUCUUAUUUUUCCCUAAUAAGAAAAAUGCUCUCUUUUAAUGUUAUGUGUUUUUAGCUUUGGUUUUGAAUUUGUUUAACUUGAUUUAUUCGUUGUUCUGAUUUAUUAGCUCGUUUUGCACUAUUUCUUGCUUCUCUAUAUUUGGAAUCUCCUCUGUGGGUCUCACUGGUUUCUUUCUUCAGUGUUGUGAUGAUGAUUCAUAAGUGUGAAUGACAUUGUGCAAGACAAUGUAAUUGACCUUAUCAAUUGGUAUGAGGAUGAGGGUAGAAGAAAAGCAAAAUGAUUUUGCUAAGUAUUCACUGUCGUUUCUGGUACACUAACCUUGCAAAGCACUAGUUCCACAUUGGAAAAAAGAAAAUCAGGCUGCUGAGUCUAAGCCUUAAAAGAUUCUGGUGUUUUCUCUAUGGAAUUGCUUUUAUACAGAAAGAAAUGCCUCACAUAAAUCCCAAUUUGUAUUGCGACUAAUUGUUUUAAUUUUGGAUUUUCCUUCUGUAUGGAGCCAGCUGUAACUCAGGAUGUUUAACCUUUUUUUUUUUCCUGUUUUAGGUUUAUGUGCUUCAAUAUUUAGCAUACGUUUAAUUAGUUUCAUGGUCCUUUAGGACUAAGCAUUGGUCAUCGUUUCUAUUACUGCUGCUGCGAAAAGAUUCUUGACUAUUGGAUAUGGUACCUUGUGGAGGUCUCUCUAAGAAGUGCUUAUUUUGGUUGCACGGUAAUUCCAAAUCUUCAAAGUUGGUAGAAUGGGCUGUUAUGAAUAUAAAGGUUUAAAGAGAAGGUUGGUAUACAGUGUUCAUAUUUACAAGAUACUUUUUAUGGUUAAAAUUAAAUUCGUAGAAGUCUAUUUCAUCAAGCACAUAUAUUAUCACAAAUAAUCUUAUUGAAGCUAAAGGGAAAAAAAAAAAAAAAAAACAUCUAAGCUUUUGAAUAUGGCAUGCUUGGUACUUCAGACCACAUGCAAGUGCAAGGAUCAAAUACUUCAGCUGACUGAAGAGGACUCAAUCCACCUCGUCCACGAGUAGCACCUCCAACAGCGUAAAGUUUAUUGUUCGAGACACUAGUCUUACAAUAUGCUCUGGCAAUAGACAUAGGAGUCACUUCACUCCAACAAUUUACAAUUGGAUCAUAAUGCCAGAUGCAGUUCAGGGCCGCAGCCCCACAAAAUCCACCCAAGACAUAGAGGCAGCCAUCAACAGAUCCAAUUGAACAACCACAGCAUCUAAUCUUGUCAAAUGCAUUCUUUGUUCCAAACCAUUCCCUAAUAGAAUCCUCAAUUUUAAUAUUUGAAGCAACCACAUUCCACAGACGAAUGCUCGAUAAGCCCCUUCUAGUUCCAUCUUCAACAGAAACUUUUGGCACUGGAGGCAACCUUUGCCAUGUCCUUGACACUAUUAUGCUUUUAAUUGAUAUUGCAGAUUACUUUUUUAACAUGUGAUAUUUUUACAUAUUCAUAUUGUGAUGAAAUAUUGAAUAUUUUGAAUUUGUUAAAUUCUCUAACCUUAAUUUCUUUUGACAUUGCAAAAUUUUAUUCUAUCUCUAGGGAUUUUAUUUCGAACCAGCUGAUAACGCAAUAUAUUUUAUAUGGUGUUUCUUUAUACUUGUAAGAUAUUUGUUAAGUUUCAAAAAUAAUUUUAUUUAUCUUUUAUAUUCAUGUUGUAUACUUAGAAGUCAAUUAAAAAAUCUUCUAAAAGUUCUAAACAUCGAAGUACUGCGAUUGUUGUAGCAAUUCCAUAGACCAAUAAAAGACUAAGAGUUUCUAGUGAAGCAGAAAAUACUAUAUCUACUCCAAUUAUCGAUGAGUAAAACCCAUCCCGUCAAAUGCAAAUGCUCCUAAGAAGAAAAGAGGUCCAACCCAAGUGAUGGUUCCUGAACAUAAUUAUAAGAAAAUAGAACUUGAACUCAAUGAAUUUGGGCAAGUAGUUGUCGGUAACUCCGAUAAAUUUGCUAUUGUUGUUGGAGCCAUGGUACGAGAACAUGUACCUAUUACAAUUAAAGACUGGCAUUCAGUGGAUGAAAAGAAAAAAAUGGAACUUUGGACUUUCAUACAGGUACAUCUCUUAACUAACUUUUUACGAUUUUUUGACACCAUUCUUUUAAGUUAUAAAAUAUAUUUGUGCACAGAUGUAGCAAAGGUUCGAUAUCAAUGAUUGUCAUAAAAUAAUGACAUUUCAAUAUAUGGGAAAGUAUUAGAUGACAUUCAAAUCACAAAUUGAGAAAAGAAAUCAGAACUGAAAUAGCAACAUCUGUUAAUAGAACACGAACCAUUGCCCUCCUUGGACCAAAGAAUGUAAAUCAUGAAGAAGCAAUGGAAAAGUUUCUCAAAGAUACUCUUUCUGUUGACUUCGAAGUAAGAAAUAUUUGCUUAUUAAUGUUAAAUUUUUAUUUAGUUGUUUCUAUUUUUAUUGUUUUGUUUUCUUAAUGGGAAAAAAGUUCCAAGUUCGGGAAAAUGAGAAAGGGUCAAAAGCUUCCUCACACUUUGGGUCGAAAUGCUUUUUCACGUACGGCUCAUGAGAUGGUACAAUUACACACCUAUCUUGUCUGGUUAGGAAUGGAGUUUCAUUUCUUCUUAGUUAUAGGUAUUACACACCAUUGUUGAUUUCCUUCAAGUAUUCAUUACGUAAUUACUGGAUUUAUAUUGUAGAGAAAAAAGAAUCCGGGCUUAAAGGGGUUAAGAACUAGAGUAUGGAUGCAUGGACAUCUUAGAAAUGAUGGUAAACCGAUAAAUGAAGCAGUCACCGCAACUUUGGCACAUGUAUUCUUUCAAUGUAUAUGAUUUAUUAUACGUAUUCAAAGCUAGUAUCUAAUCUGAGUUCCAUAAGUGCAGAAAAGGAUAGAAGAUUGUGCCCAAUCAAUUUCUGAUACACCAGCAGAAAAUUCCAUCCACAAUGAUGCUGUUGCUCGAAUUUUAGGUCCUGAACAUCGUGAAAGAGUUAGAGGACUUGGAUUUGUAGUUUCACCAUCGAAAGUGGAUGGACAAUUCAAAUUAAUGGGAGAGUGAGAGAACUUGAUGAAAAGGUUGGAGCACUAGAAGAAAGGUUGAAGCACUUCUUAAAUUAUCUCAACAGGUUAUAAACUUUUAUCAUCAUAUAUAUACAAUGAUAAUAUAGCUUAGCAUAACUCAAUAUGGAGAAUAAUUUUUUAAUUUUUGUAUCAUUUACAGAAUCAAAACAAGAAUGUAGACGACUUGAGUUCACGUGCUUUUACUCAGGUUUUUGUAUCUUACAUAUUAUUUUGUAUUCACUAUAAACAUAGAAUAUAGCAUAUACUAAUUUAUUUUACUUUGAUUUUGUAGUCACAACAAGGAAGUGGUAUCUAUGGAGGGAUUGCACAUACGGAACAUGCAAGGUUUCAACUGUUGCAUUGGUGCAUAUUUAAAGAGGAAGAAAUUGUAGUUGAAGGAAGGAUUGCAUCAAUAGACCCAAGUGCAAAGGUCAUCACAUACCAAUCGGACGAGAUUGUUGGACUGUUUGGGUUGAGGAAGUGCAUAUGGGCCAUUUGAACUUAUGUAGACCUACUGAUGAAUUUUGAGUGCUUAGAGAAGCCAUAGGAAGUAUAGUUGUUUGGCUAAAGAGCAGUAUUAGACUUAUUUAACAAGGUAUGUAAUGCAUUUCUGCAUUUUUGUUUCUGUGUGUAAUAUCUGUACUUG
rnacentral:lncRNA from 1 species